UGGCUCAGAGGUUAAAGCAUCUGCCUGGAAUGCAGGAGACCCGGGUUCGAUCCCUGG
rfam:Ovis aries breed Texel chromosome 6, whole genome shotgun sequence.